GACGUAGGGCGCGAGCGUUGUCCGGAUUUAUUGGGCGUAAAGAGCUCGUAGGCGGCUUGUCGCGUCGACUGUGAAAACCCGCGGCUCAACUGCGGGCCUGCAGCCGAUACGGGCAGGCUAGAGUUCGGUAGGGGAGACUGGAAUUCCUGGUGUAGCGGUGAAAUGCGCAGAUAUCAGGAGGAACACCGGUGGCGAAGGCGGCUUCCUGGACCGACACUGACGCUGAGGCGCGAAAGCUAGGGGAGCAAACAGG
rnacentral:rRNA from 1 species